CCUACGGGAGGCAGCAGUGGGGAAUAUUGCACAAUGGGCGCAAGCCUGAUGCAGCGACGCCGCGUGAGGGAUGACGGCCUUCGGGUUGUAAACCUCUUUCAGUAGGGAAGAAGCGAAAGUGACGGUACCUGCAGAAGAAGCGCCGGCUAACUACGUGCCAGCAGCCGCGGUAAUACGUAGGGCGCAAGCGUUAUCCGGAAUUAUUGGGCGUAAAGAGCUCGUAGGCGGUUUGUCGCGUCUGCCGUGAAAGUCCGGGGCUCAACUCCGGAUCUGCGGUGGGUACGGGCAGACUAGAGUGAUGUAGGGGAGACUGGAAUUCCUGGUGUAGCGGUGAAAUGCGCAGAUAUCAGGAGGAACACCGAUGGCGAAGGCAGGUCUCUGGGCAUUAACUGACGCUGAGGAGCGAAAGCAUGGGGAGCGAACAGGAUUAGAUACCCUGGUAGUCCAUGCCGUAAACGUUGGGCACUAGGUGUGGGGGUACAUUCCACGUUUUCCGCGCCGUAGCUAACGCAUUAAGUGCCCCGCCUGGGGAGUACGGCCGCAAGGCUAAAACUCAAAGGAAUUGACGG
rnacentral:rRNA from 1 species